rnacentral:rRNA from 1 species
GACGGAGGAUGCAAGCGUUAUCCGGAAUUAUUGGGCGUAAAGCGUCCGCAGGUGGCUGUUCAAGUCUGCUGUCAAAGCGCAGAGCUUAACUCUGUACAGGCGGUGGAAACUGAAGAGCUAGAGUAUGGUAGGGGUAGAGGGAAUUCCCGGUGUAGCGGUGAAAUGCGUAGAUAUCGGGAAGAACACCAGUGGCGAAGGCGGCUUCCUGGCCUGUUCUUGACGCUGAGGCGCGAAAGCUAGGGGAGCAAACGGG